GACGAACGCUGGCGGCGUGCCUAAUACAUGCAAGUCGAACGCAUUUUCUUUCACCGUAGCUUGCUACACCGAAAGAAAAUGAGUGGCGAACGGGUGAGUAACACGUGGGUAACCUGCCCAUCAGCGGGGGAUAACACUUGGAAACAGGUGCUAAUACCGCAUAAUUCCAUUUACCGCAUGGUAGAUGGGUGAAAGGCGCUUUUGCGUCACUGAUGGAUGGACCCGCGGUGCAUUAGCUAGUGGGUGGGGUAACGGCCUACCAAGGCUGCGAUGCAUAGCCGACCUGAGAGGGUGAUCGGCCACACUGGGACUGAGACACGGCCCAGACUCCUACGGGAGGCAGCAGUAGGGAAUCUUCGGCAAUGGACGCAAGUCUGACCGAGUAACGCCGCGUGAGUGAAGAAGGUUUUCGGAUCGUAAAACUCUGUUGUUAGAGAAGAACAAGGAUGAGAGUGGAAAGUUCAUCCCUUGACGGUAUCUAACCAGAAAGCCACGGCUAACUACGUG
rnacentral:rRNA from 1 species